AUGUACUUUGCAUUUGUGAUUCCAUCAAAGUUGCCACCAAACCAGACGACGCCCUCUCUUUCACCAGCUCCGCCCACCCAACAACUAGUACGUACAUAUCCUCUCGCCCCGGUGACCGUUCAAAGAAAAGAAAAACUAUACCAUGAAGAACGGCUACCCUCCGAUGCUACCCUCCUUUUGAGAGCGCCCCCCUACAUCAUUCUGAAAUAUGUCAUCAUCACGGCCCACCACACCUCAUUGCCUAGAAAAACUUCUGGAACAAAAGACCAGCAGCUGGGCCUCCACUUUCCCCAUCCAUUCUUCCCUUUCUUGUUUCCGUGUCCGUCCUCUCCUCGCUCGCUUUUCAUCUUUUUUCUUUCUUGUGAUCUAUCUAUCGACUCCUCCUCCUUCUUCUUCUUCUUCUUCUUCUUCUUCUUCUUCUUCUUCUUCUUCUUCUUCUUCUUCUUUCUUGUACAAAUCCAACUGAUUGAGUCAGUGAAUAUGUGGUGGGGGAUCUUCAACCUCGCCAUGGUUUGCGUUUGCACGAUUGGGAUGCUGCCUCUGGCUGCACCCACCAUCCACCACGGAGGAGGACGACGAGGAGGGAACCCGGCGAACGACCUGGUGGCGAUGGUGAACGGCGACCGGGCAUCGGCCAAGCUGCCCACCCUCCGCCACAGCAAGGGCCUCGGCUGCAUGGCGCUGCAGUACAUCUCCCGAUGCAGCGACAAGAGCGGGUGCGCUGACGGCGGCACGCUCGCCCCGCCCUGCCGUCCGCCGGAGACCGACAUCACCGAGGUCUACGCCGCCAACUGCGGGGUCGAGCUCCCCACCGUCGGCGCCAUCUCAGGCCGCAUCCUCGGAUGCGGCUUGCACGCGGGCGUUUACGACUUCGAGAUAACCAACGCCACGGUGUUCCGCGGCAAGGACCAGACGCUGCCACGCUGGUGGGCGCCGGCGUGGACGGAGGAUUCUGGUGCCUCCUCCUCACCAGCGGCAGCCCCAACUCCAGCUUCCUGCUGGAGGACGCCGGCAGGGGUAUCGCGCAGACACACGGCUGCUUCAGCGACCCGGACACCCUCUCCUGCAACGCCUCCGCCGCCCAAACCAGGCGAGUCACCGCCGGAUCCUCUGCCUUGGCUCCGCUUCUUCCCCUGCUGCUAUUCCUCCUCUAAUCAAGUGGAGUAA
rnacentral:rRNA from 1 species